CUACGAGUCAAAUCGAGUAAAACAUUCAUAACCCAAGGCACAGAUUCGACUCUAGUAUUCACUGUUAAGCGUAAGAAUUUAAGUUCCUCAUAACCUCUGCUCAAGUAAGGGUUAUAACUCUCAUUAGCUAUAUAUCAUGUGACCUAUAUUGAUGUAUCGCCUCAUUUAUCUCUCACUAGCUAUUAUAGGCAACGAUCAUUUCUCAAUAAGAUGCUCAUACAN
rnacentral:lncRNA from 1 species